rnacentral:rRNA from 1 species
CCUACGGGUGGCAGCAGUGAGGAAUAUUGGUCAAUGGGCGGGAGGCUGAACCAGCCAAGUCGCGUGAAGGAAGAAGGUCCUAAGCAUUGUAAACUUCUUUUAUCAAGGAACAAAGUCAGACACGAGUGCCUGAUUGUGUGUACUUGAAGAAAAAGCAUCGGCUAACUCCGUGCCAGCAGCCGCGGUAAUACGGAGGAUGCGAGCGUUAUCCGGAUUUAUUGGGUUUAAAGGGUGCGUAGGGGGGAGUUUAAGUCAGCGGUAAAAGUUCGGGGCUCAACCCCGGCGUGCCGUUGAAACUGGUUGUCUUGAGUAGACGAGAGGUAUGCGGAAUUCGUGGUGUAGCGGUGAAAUGCUUAGAUAUCACGAAGAACUCCGAUUGCGAAGGCAGCAUACCGGCGGCGAACUGACGCUGAGGCACGAAAGCGUGGGGAUCGAACAGGAUUAGAUACCCGAGUAGUC